GGGUGCGAUCAUACCAGCACUAAUGCACCGGAUCCCAUCAGAACUCCGCAGUUAAGCGUGCUCGGGGGAGAGUAGUACUAGGAUGGGUGACCUCCUGGGAAGUCCUCGUGUUGCACCCC
rnacentral:rRNA from 1 species